rnacentral:rRNA from 1 species
CUACACCUACGGGGGGCAGCAGUAGGGAAUCUUCCACAAUGGGCGAAAGCCUGAUGGAGCAACGCCGCGUGGGUGAAGAAGGUCUUCGGAUCGUAAAACCCUGUUGUUAGAGAAGAAAGUGCGUGAGAGUAACUGUUCACGUUUCGACGGUAUCUAACCAGAAAGCCACGGCUAACUACGUGCCAGCAGCCGCGGUAAUACGUAGGUGGCAAGCGUUAUCCGGAUUUAUUGGGAGUAAAGAGAACGCAGGCGGUCUUUUAAGGCUGAUGUGAAAGCCUUCGGCUUAAGCG